UCGGAAUGUUACCCUACAGAGAUCUCGUG
rnacentral:sRNA from 1 species